UUAAAUAUCAGCCCUGUGCCAUGGACUGAGGAGAUAUGAAGAAGGAAAUCAACACAAGAUUGUGUUGGCACAAGAGAAAGCUGCUCUGAAUGGUGAGAACAGGAGUCAGCCCACCUAUCCUAAGUCAAAGGAACCCACCAGUUCCAAGGAGGAGGCACAGAUGAAAAGAAGAAAGGAAAGAAGUGAAAGAAGAAGAACAAGUGAGAGGUGGGAGGAGAAGGACAAGGAUGGUGGAGCUGAAGCAGUACCUGGCACCGUGGCCAUCCUUCCAAGUUUGUCUUGGCUCCUGACUUCAACCAGUGGUUUUUGAUACCUUUCUCACGUCAUUUCCCAGGGUAGCACAAGCUGCCUUGUGAAUUACCAGAGUGAAGAAAUGGCCCCAAGGGACAUCAUCUUGAAGCCACGUGAGGAAAGACACAGCCACAUGAUUCUCUAAAAACCAGGAUCAAAGCCUUGCUGCUGUCAGAACCUCGCCAUUGCAUCCGGAGGGGUGAGAAAUGGUGGUGGCAAGAGGGAAAAGAAUGAAUGACUCUUCCUAUUGACUCAGACUGACACGGAGUGGGGGUCCUCAGCAG
rnacentral:lncRNA from 1 species